rnacentral:rRNA from 1 species
GAUGAACGCUGGCGGCGUGCCUAAUACAUGCAAGUCGAGCGAACGGACGAGAAGCUUGCUUCUCUGAUGUUAGCGGCGGACGGGUGAGUAACACGUGGAUAACCUACCUAUAAGACUGGGAUAACUUCGGGAAACCGGAGCUAAUACCGGAUAAUAUUUUGAACCGCAUGGUUCAAAAGUGAAAGACGGUCUUGCUGUCACUUAUAGAUGGAUCCGCGCUGCAUUAGCUAGUUGGUAAGGUAACGGCUUACCAAGGCAACGAUGCAUAGCCGACCUGAGAGGGUGAUCGGCCACACUGGAACUGAGACACGGUCCAGACUCCUACGGGAGGCAGCAGUAGGGAAUCGUCCGCAAUGGGCGAAAGCCUGACGGAGCAACGCCGCGUGAGUGAUGAAGGUCUUCGGAUCGUAAAACUCUGUUAUUAUGGAAGAACAUAUGUGUAAGUAACUGUGCACAUCUUGACGGUACCUAAUCAGAAAGCCACGGCUAACUACGUG